UACGAAGGUGGCAAGCGUUGUUCGGAUUUACUGGGCGUACAGGGAGCGUAGGCGGUUGGAUAAGCCCUCCGUGAAAUCUCCAGGCUUAACCUAGAAAGUGCAGAGGGGACUGUUCAGCUAGAGGAUGGGAGAGGAGCGCGGAAUUCCCGGUGUAGCGGUGAAAUGCGUAGAGAUCGGGAGGAAGGCCGGUGGCGAAGGCGGCGCUCUGGAACAUUUCUGACGCUGAGGCUCGAAAGCGUGGGGAGCAAACAGG
rnacentral:rRNA from 1 species